rnacentral:lncRNA from 1 species
UCAGUGACCCUGAGGGGACUCGAACUGGUGACCAUUGGAGAGCAAAUCCAAGAUCUAAUCAUUGAGUUACCCCUCAAGGUUGACUUGUACAGUUAAAACAGCGAAAUAAGUAACCUGGAGGAAAACCCCAAAAUUUGGCAUGGAAGUUACGAAGUGAUGUAAAUUCCUUCUAUUUAGGUACGAAGUUCCAACAAGUUCAAAAGUAGAAAAAAUAGCCGCAUGCAACGCAUUCAGCACAGUUAUAUAACAAUUGGCAAAGGAAGUUUCAUAGAAACAAAUAAAAAAGCCCAGAAAAUGAUUUUUGAAAGCACAUUAACAACCUAAAAGGUAGAUAAAAGUAAGAAAGAAAAAGAAAAUUAUGGAUAAGUUACAAAAAAAACUCCAAGUAAUUGCACUUUAAAAAACACUGAUAAAAUUCAGCACAAAAGCAAUUAUUUUGAUGCUUAUAUGUCAACUCUUCAUAAAGCUUACUUGCAAAUAAGUUGAUUGUUUUUAGCUGAAUUACAGUUAAUGAAGUUGAUAUUCUAUUGUAUAAUCCAAAACAAAUAUGCGAUGAAUUUAUGAGAACUCAGCCUCAUUUUCCCAAGUAACUUACUUCCAACGUUGUCACUGAUGUAAUUGCAUCAUCAGCCCCUGGCCAGCCUAGUAGGCUUGACUCCUGAUAAAACUUAUGGACAACUUCAGGGCAGUUAAGAAAAAAAUGAUAAUACUGCUUCACAAAGGCGUUUGCCACGGACUGCACGUUAAUGUUUUCUACUGACAUCUUGAUCCUGAUCUCUGCAUUUAAUAACAGACAAAUUGUUGUCAGAACAAUUUUUUGAAAUUUUUAAUAGCUUCUCUAAAUGAUGAAAAAGUUGUUUCCUUGGGUAAGUAUGUGUAUUUAAAUGCACAAAAUAACACAAUUCAGUCUGUAACUGAUCACAGUUGCUACCACAUCUAUAAUUGAACACAAUUUAAGAACUAAGCAUUCAUAAGAUUGAUAGAUACAAUAAUAUAAGUACAGAACAUUGAUGAAGAAGGCUGAAAUAAGUACCCUUUACCUUUUGCAGUUUUCGUGAAUAGAAAGAAAAGUUUAUAGAAAGGUUCAAGAAUCUAGUAAAUGCAGAAAGUAUUGACACAAUGUUGAGCAGUUGGGAACAAAAAUACAUCAAAAUAAAGAAGGAUUUUAUAAACCUCUCUUUGAGAUGCUAAGAAUCGUCUUGGAUUUCUAUGGGAUAACUUUAAUAUUACGAAUCAACAAACUAAAUUACAUUUGCUUUAAAAGUGGAAAGGAAUAAAUAAGUAUAGGAGAUGCGCGUGAAGAGUAAACGAGCAGAAAAAAUCUAACAGAAGGAAUCUUGGUGGAUAAACUCUCCUGCAACAUAGAGAAAUUCAUAAAAGUCUGAUGAUCAUAAACAUUGGACAAUAAAUGCAUAUCAGACAAAGCCCGACUUUAAGUUUAAAAGUGGAAAUAUAUUUAUUAUCUAUAAUGUGUUAAUGAAAAUGGGUUUGGAAACAGAUUGAAUCCAUUAGACAAGUUUUUACCCAAUUUCACAAAAAGAUAAUGUGAAUCCAUCAAUCAGUGAAUUAACCCUUUUUCAGCAUAAAGGGAUGAAACUUUUCCAAAUUCAAAAUACAGAUCUUAACAGCAAGUCUUCCUUUUUCAACAAAGCAUGAAGAACUAUACAUUAGACCAUAGAGAACGUCAAAAUCCUAAAUUAAUAACAUUAAAACUACAUUAUCUCUAUUCGCAUAUAAUCAAGAAACAAUUAUAAACCUUUAUGCCAAUCAUAUUCAAAUUAUAGAGUCAAUCACCAAAUGUUAAUCUUUUCUAAACAAAUCAGACGCAUUCAAUCCGAAAACCAGAAAAUAGAAACUUAAGAACCCAUAUAUAUAUCCAAAAAAAAUCAUGCAUUCCUAGAAUCAGCCAAAUCACAAAAAUGAUAAAACCAGUCUCCCAGCAACAAGUACCAUGGCCUGUACAUUCAAUUCGAAAGAUUCACUAAAACAUUUAUAAACCCAAUCUUUUUACUUUAAAACCAAGAAAAAGCAGACACUGAGCUUUUUAUGAAAUGCAAACCCAUAAACCAUUAUGUUUAUAACAAUAAAAAAAUAAUAAAUAAUAAAUAAUAAAUAAUAAAUAAUAAAUAAUCAAAUAUUUACCACAAAAUAUACCAUGUUUUGCAUAAAAAUUCAACGAUACGUACAUGUACAAUUGCUCGUGAAAAUAAUCUCAAACCUGUAUAAAUUUAAACUUCUUUUUACCUCAAAGAACAAAUCAAAACCACUGCGAGAAAGAGUAACUGAAAACCCAAGAUUUUGAGAAUGGCUUUGCAGUAUAAAGGGGUGACGGCGUGAAUAUUGAGUGAAUUUAUAUAAAGGGGUUUCAUGAGCAGAUUCUGUAAAUCGGGCAGAGAUUUUGGUUUCCCCAAUUGUUAAAUGCAUUUUUGGGAAUUUGGAGGGAAAAUUUUCCCUUUCUUUUAUCUUUGAUAUUCGUGGUUUUACAAGCGAAAAUAGCUGGCAGUGAAUCGUGGAGCCCAGUUUGGAGACGUGUAACGUUGAUGGCCCGGCCAUUUUGAGAGUUUUUGUUUAGAAAAGCGUGUAGACUUUGAAUGUCGAAAAAAGCCGAAGAUCCCGGGAUAAAAUCCCCACCUUGGCCCCCGAUGUAAAAGGCGCGGGCCCCGCAUGUGUGAAGAUCCAAGGUUGAGGUGUUGCCACCUAGACCUUGGAGCGAAACUCGAGAUUUUAUCUUGGGUUCUGAAGCAUCAUUCUUGAAUGUUUUGCUUCAUCUGCCAACAGAGCAAUCAAAGGCGAAGUUAAUAACUAUGAUAAAAAAUUUAAGUCUGCGGAUUAAAAUUAAAUUUUUAACAUAUUAUAAUAAAAAAUGAUAUGGUUUAAAAGUUGUGGAUUUCAUAACUGGUAAUUGGCACAAAACCUUUUUACCUUUUAAGUUUAUUGUGAAAAACGCUCGUACCUUUUAUUUUUUGAUAUCUUCCCCCCUACCUUUCGCCUUUCUUUGUUAUGAACGUCCUUUUUCACCACUUUUUAACAUAAAAUAACCAAUAUAUCCUUCGAGUGAAUUGUCCAAAUGAUCGCUGAACUUUGCAAAAGAUUUUCAAGGGAUCACUGAACUUUAAAAAUCACAUAAAUAGUCACUGAGUUUUGCAAAAGGCUUUUAUGAGAUCGCUGAACUUUAAAAAUCACAUAAAUGGUUACUGAAUUUUGAAAAAUAUUUCCCAAGGAUCACUGCUGGAAAAUCUUUUGGAAAAUUUAGUGACAUCAAGAAAACUUUUUGUAAAGUUCAAUGACCAUUUAGGUGAUUUUUAAAGUUCAAUGACCUUGUAAAAAUAUUUUGCAAAGUUCGGUGACCAUUUAAGUGAUUUUUAAAAUUCAGUGACCCCUUGAAAACUUUUUGCAAAGCUCAGUGACCAUUUGAAUAAUUCACUCUAUAUCCAAAGAAAAAAUAAAUUGCAAUUUUAGGCCAAACUUAGGGAGGAAAGGGUUGAAGCCCUCAUUUGUUACUGGUAAACAGAUGAAGGAUCAAGUUGAGAGGGUCAAUAGGGAAGUUGCUACUGGCCAAGAUUAUUUGCACUUUUUAAAAAAGGUGCCUCCUCUUCUCGAAGUUCUCUACAAAACAAACCAACAAGUCUAUAAAAAUACAAAGCAAAGAAAAUAUCAAAGUGACGCAAAGCGAUGAUUACUUAGGGGUUGUAAAAGUACCUCUCCAAACCAUCGGGUUGAAAAAAUCGUUUGGAAACGAUUAGCCUCUCAAAUUCCCUUGAAGAAGCCGGAUGCAAGUAGAUGUCCUUUAUAAGCUCAAGUUCUGAGGAACUGAGCUCAAAUCAAUCAACUCCUUCUAGAAAAAAGAAUACGGCAUCAAAAUCCACAUCAGUACAAUUACUCAAUAAAACAUAAGGUACUACACUUACUGGCUUCUAAGUAGGAAGUCAGAACUGUCACGUGGCAAUGGUGUUGCCUUAGCACACCUACCACUUCCCCCUUACCCAAAAUCACAUCUCCUUCCACCCUUUGAUGAAUGAGGGAAAGGUGGUGACAAAGGGAGUAUGUGACCCCCAAGGACAUAGGAAAUACCACAUUUUGGAAUCCUCUUUACCUAAGACCUAGGUUGAAGGAAGGUCUGAAAUAUGUGGAAGGGCAUGUCCUCGCAUAAUGAUAUCUCCUUCCAAAGAAAGUAAGACCCCAUGAGCUGAGCCAGGCGUUUGGAACGAACUGGUUAGGAGCCAAUUUGUGAAACCUAAGAACGGUUCUAAAGAAAAGGUGUAAUGGCAAUCUAAGUCCUGCCUUUAAAAGGAAUUCAUUAAUGGGUACACAUCCACCUCGGAUAACACGCAUGCUCAUCAAGUGAAAGGGCUAGGAGUUUUAUAUCAUAGGGUAUGUAAAUGAUUUGGGCUCCCAUUUCAGCAGCUACUUCACUAAGGUCCACUCUCUUUUCAAAAGUAAAAGAAGAAGCCAUUUGAGCUAUGAAAAUUAGAAAAUUUUAAAUACUUAGGAAAUCACAUGAAAAGAGCAAAAGAUUUCAAAGAGUCACAAUGUAGAAGGCUUAAUAGCCUAGAGAAAUUCGAAAAAAGAGAGCACAAGAACUCAAGAACACAACGCCAAGAU